UCCCGUACUUCUUACAAUUGCGAUGGGGGGACGGAGAAGGCUAGGUGGGCCUGGCGACGGUUGUCCAGGUUCAAGUGCGUAGGCUUAAGAGUUAGGUAAAUCCGGCUCUUUUUAAGGCUGAGACACGACGUCGAGCACCUACGGGUGUGAAGUCAUUGAUGCCAUGCUUCCAGGAAAAGCCUCUAAGCUUCAGAUUGUAAGGAAUCGUACCCCAAACCGACAC
rnacentral:rRNA from 1 species